rnacentral:rRNA from 1 species
AGUGAACGCUGGCGGCGUGCCUAAUACAUGCAAGUCGAACGGAAUUUAAAAGAGCUAGCUCUUUUAAAUUUAGUGGCGCACGGGUGAGUAAUAUAUAGCUAAUCUGCCCCUUGCUGGAGGACAACAGUUAGAAAUGACUGCUAAUACUCCAUACUCCUUUUUACCAUAAGAUAAAUCGGGAAAGAAUUUCGGCAAGGGAUGAGACUAUAUCGUAUCAGCUAGUCGGUGGGGUAACGGCCUACCGAGGCUAUGACGCGUAACUGGUCUGAGAGGAUGAUCAGUCACAUUGGAACUGAGACACGGUCCAAACUCCUACGGGAGGCAGCAGUAGGGAAUAUUGCGCAAUGGGGGAAACCCUGACGCAGCAACGCCGCGUGGAGGAUGACACUUUUCGGAGCGUAAACUCCUUUUGUUAGGGAAGAAUAANGACG